CCCUCUAUGCAAUUGCUUGAGAAAUAAAGUAUCUGACUUUGCUGCACCCAACCAAAAAGUGAGAACUAACUUUUCUUCGACAGCAGGAACCCUGCAUGACAAGAGAGGAUUAAAGCAACACAGGUCUUCUCCUUAUCCAGAUGAAGGACUUGUCUAUGGAAUGAGUGAAUCAAAAACAGCUAGACAGUCUUUGAUGAACUCCAUGCAUGAACACUCAUGUGCUGGAAUAACAGAACAUGUUCUUGCUUAGUUUAUCCCACAUGGGGAGUUGAUCAAGAAUAGAUAUUGCACUUUAAAUUCCCACUUUACCUUAAUCCAAGUCAGCUUUCAAGUGGAGACGAGCUCUGAGCUGCUUAACUUAGUCUGAGACCCCAAUUUUAGAGUUGGAGGGGGCAGUCUGUUUCCCUAUAAUCCCUGUCUCUCUCUCUUCUCCUGCCAGCUGAGGCAGAUCUUUUACCCCUCUCCAAGUUCCUUUGUCUGUCCCAGGCAUCCCGAACCCAGUCAAUCCAGGAAGGGUGUGGAUAGACUUCCCAGCAGUUGUUCUUUGCAUUGUCUUUUAACCAUUGGUAAAUGGGGUGAGGGGCUCUCUCCAGCUCAGUAUUUACCUGUUGGGAUGGGGCAUAGAGCAGAUUGCAACUGUCAACAUACUUGGGCUGCGUUACGGCCAGUGCUGAAGGAGUCUCAAAAGAUGUGAUCGUUCAUAUAACAGCAGCUACUGCCAUGUUACUGCAGGUCCUUUGGCAGCCUCUUUGGAGGCCCCAGGACAUCAAGCUUGCUACGUACCUGCAGAUCUAUAGAACCACAGCAGUGAAACGUGGGUGCUGAGGAAGACUGAAGAGCAGCUUAAGGAUUUUUUAAUUUUCAUUGUCUCCAUCAGCUGCUCCAUAGCAGCAGGUCAAGAUCAGCAAUGAGAUUCAUAGCUGAACCCAAGCAACUGCCUCCAUCAGCACAGGUUUCUCUUUCCUGGUGCAGACACAUUCUUAGGAUGGAGAAUGAGCGAAUUACGAAGUGUGUUUACCCAGGAGUGCUGCUACCUUGCCAGUGAUCACCAUAAACCCAAGAUCUUAAGGACUGAGUUAGAGAUUGAUCUGGGUGGCAUAUGAUCUGCGAGGAGGCCACGUCCCUGGGGAUUUGCUGGGGUGAUGAUGUGGAGGCUCUAUGAGGUGUUUGCUUCUCUUGGAAUGAACCACCUUUGUAAUCACAGCAAGUAACACACAACUGAACGAGAAGAGGAUCGUAUAAUAUUCAUAAAAUACAGACAUCUUCCCAGGGAGGCCACAGCACCAAAGAAAUCUCCCCUCCUAUUUCUGUCCUACAAUUGCUUUGCAAGUCAUGCUACAUCCCUAGCAAUUUGGUGGCAGAGAAUUUCAUGGAGGAUGAUCAGAAAUCAGUUCACCCUGUGGCACUCUCCUCGGCCCCCUCUGGCACCCUUCCUCCCUCCUUUCCAUGAUCUUUAAUCUGACCCUCCCCCACUCCUGCCUUCCCUGCCAGGUGCCUGUAACUGGAUCUCAGCUUGGCAAGGGCUCCAGAGAUCCAGCCACAUGAUACUGUGGGGCUGCUGGCAAGAACAGCUGGUGUCCUCAGGAAUGCACUGAGUAGGACAGUUCUAAGCAAAGCUGAUCCUGCUCCCUGUGGGGGGGGGUGUCUGCUCCUCCCUCUUCUCUUUAACCCUUCCCCUGGCGUAGGUGGGGCAAGUUUCCCAGGGAAGCUGGGGCACCUGCCCUCCUUUUAGCAGAUUAGCAAUCUGUCCAGAGGAUAUGCUGUAAAUCAGCCUGUAAAAGAGAAGAUCUAGGACCUGUGUUGGGGAGGGUCAAGCGAGAUGGCCCAUUCUGGCCUCAGAGUCUGUGGUUCCCCCUACUCAUUCCCUUCCUUCAUGGGCCACAGGGAGAUCAGAAUUAGGAGUAUGCUCAUACCACACACAGGCUCUGUGUUAUGACACUAACUGGCCCAGCCUCAUUCUUCAGGGCUAUACUUAAGAGACGUUUUCAGCAGAUGCCACCAUUACACACUCUUCAGUAUGCUAGCAAGUUUUGACUCUUGGGAAAAUAUACUGGGUGGUUGGCUGUUUUGGGUUCUGCAAUGUUCUGGUAGGCAAUGAUCCUGGGGGGUGAGGGAGCUGGCUGAGCAGUGGGAAAAUUUGCUGUCUGCCUUGGGCUUUCACUGGAGUCAAUUUCUGAAGGCAGUUUAUCCUUGUGAAUCAGGCACUGGGGUUGGGCUGAGCCACAUGGAAGCACAGAUUGCCCUGUGUGCUGUUUGACCACCUCUGUUUUAGGACUUGUGUAUGUAAAUAAAGUGAGUUACCUUAGACUCUAUCCAUACUCCACAUCACUGAUUUCUCUUCUGUUGGGAAGAUGAUCUGCAAGGUCUCAGAGGUCAGCUGUCCCCAACAAAAGGGCUAUGCUGGUGCCAGGACUAGGUCACUGAUGUCAGAAGGGGUAGAGAUAUCAUACAAAAACACUGUAGUCCUUUAGAGGAUUUGUGGCUGGGACAGAGCAGGAUAUGUUAGGGUUGGAACUAGCAUGAGCACUGACUGGUAGGGGAGAGCAUCCAGUGCUGAGCCCCCACCCUGCUCCCUGCAGCACAGUACGUGUGCACCUGCCAACACACACACUGGGGAAUUGGGGUCAGCACAGACUGCUGGGGACAGCACCCCAUACUGAGCCACCAGCAUGCUUCCUGCAGCACAGUAUCCCCCCAGCGCCAUGCUGCUUUAGCAGCAGAAGGGGAAAAAAUGGGAGAAGAUCCAUCACCCAUAGUCAGAUCUCAGUCUCCCCUGCCUCUCAACAUGCAGGGUUAGGGAGGCUCUGUGUCCUGCAGCUCCAAAGCCUUGGUCCUGUCAUUAGGAGUGUCACUGGCAGGCUCAGCAGCAGCCCCAUGAAACCUGCUCUGCGCUGGGCUGGACACUGCAGGAUGCUGCUGAAGCAAGGACAUGAGACCAUGCUAGCUCUGGAUGCACAGCCGCCUCUCCCUAUGGGCUGCCUCCAUCCAGUGCUAGAGGCAACACCCUGCUUUCCCCUUUGGGCCACUGCUCUGCACGGGAGGGGGGGUACCCUCAAGGAGUUGGGCAUUCCUCAAAACUGGGCAUGGGGUAGCUCACUAUUCCUGUCGCCAUCCUGCUGGCAUGUGAGGGGUGGUCUUAAAGUAGUAGGCUCCCCCACAUCUUUCCCCAGCUGCUGGUGGGGCUUGGGGCUGCCCCUCCAAAUGACAUGGUCUAGGUAGCCUGCCCUUAACACUUGCCAUGGCUGGAGGCAGGCGCAGGGGGGGUCCAGGCUGGGUGGGGGGAGCCCAGGGCAGCAAUGAUGCAGGGAGGGAUUAGGUGUUUGGGAUUCCUGCCCCCCUCCCAUACCCACACCUCCACUUCCAUCCUGCUUGCGAGGGGUCCUGAGUUGAACUGAUGGUGUUGCAGGCCCCAUGCCCAGGGGGAUGCCCCUGGGAAGUGAACGAAAUCCUAGGGAAACCUAGCAAUGCCUAGGUAUGGAGGUGAAGCUGACAUGGAAUUCUGGAAUUCUGCCAACAACUGGUGAAGGCCAAUGAGAUGUGGGUGGUGCUGCUUGCUGGCCUGAGCUGGCCUCCUGGCGGGGGGCAAACAGAAGUGUGAGGAUUGGGUGCCACACAGGCACUGGGGAGAUGGGCACUAGAGCUGACAGCAGCUCCUCAUGCAGGGAUCUGUGCCAGGGCCUCUGCUUGGCAGGGUCUUGAGCGAGGAGCCCAGUUCUCCACUGCAGAGCUUUGCACUGUCCUCUGGCCCAGCCCCCAUCAGAGCCAGGAUAUUGGUCUGGAUGGAUCAAAGGGUCUGAUCUGGGGUUGGAGGGGAGGGCAGAUAUACAGGGCUGGCUGGGCCCAGGGGUCUGAUCUGCAGCAGUAAUUCCUGCACUCCAAACUAGUCAGAACCCCAGCAUUUUAGGCAGCUGAGUCUGAAUCCCAGAGCCCUGGCUCAGGCCCUUCUAAGUAAUAGCUGGGGAGGGGGCUGAUGCUCCCUUAACCCCACAUGCUCUUUGUGCCUGAAGUGCCAGGGUCCUGGCCUCCGACAAGAAGCACUAGGCAAAUCUGGGGGCAGGGAAGGAGCCUGGUGCGGGAUCCUAAGGCACAAGGUGACUUGACCAUUGUUCAGAAUGGAGCUGGGGCCAACUGGGGCACCCCAGGCUGCCCUCCUUUCUGGAGUGGGCCCCAAGAAGUUUGCUGAGCUGGGAGGGGAGGCCCAGGAGGUGGACGGGCACUGUGGGCUCUGUCCAACCACAGCAGCUGCUGGAAAAGACAGGGUCACAGAGAAGACAGGAAAGUGACCCCUUGGCAGAGCGGGCCUGGAGAAGGCUGGCCACUACCAUCAUCUUCUCUGCUGUGGCACCUCCAGUUGAGACCCAGCAGGGGAAGGAUGGAGGGAGCUGGGGCCCAGGUAGCCUCAGGGGAAUGGUGCUGUAGCUCCCAUGGUGCAGGAGGAGUUGCUUGGAUGGACCCUGCAGACAGGAGAGGCACAGGGAGGUAGCUGGUGGUGCCUCCUCAUUUCUCUGCAGGCCACUGGCUCCCUCCACAUCCCGUUCUUCCUUGGCUGCUGGAUCUUCUUCCAACCCUGCUGCAGCUCAGGGUGCCAAUAAUGCCUCAAGGACCCGCAUAUUUGUACAUGGCAUUUUAUUGGGGAGGGACUACUUUGUCCUUCUGCUGCCGGUUACAAAGGCGGCAGAAGGACACAUAGGUGGGGAGUGUCACAAGGAACUCCAGCCCAUGCUGACAGGGGGACGGGCUUGCUAAUGCCCCCGUCCUUGGGUACCUUUGCAUGGUAUGCCAUGGUUACAAGCACUAUGGUGAUGUCACUUCCCAGCUCCCACCCACCUCCCUCUGCCCUGGUUCAGGCUCUCUGCCCCUUUAAGACAUCAUAAUUUCCAGAUUCUCCUCCCCUCACCAAUGAUGUCAUCAUUCCCAAUGAUCUCACAAUCUCUUGCUGUGACAGCAAUAACAGCAGUCAGGGAGGAAGCAGCAGGAAUCCAUGGGCUCUUAAAGAGGAAGAGAACCUGACCAAGCUUCCUUUAGACCUGAGUCUUGCUUCCUUCUGCUUUUCCUAGUUUGUUAUUGUAGGGUCACGGGAGCUGCACAGGCUGGUUUGUUAUCACAGAAGUCUCUCUGGGUGCCAUGCACUGGUUUGUUAUUGGAGAGUCACUCAGGGACACUAGGGCUAUGCAUGCUGGUAUGUUAAUAUUGUAGGGUCUCUCAUGGCGCUGCACGCUGGUUUGCUUCUAUAGGAUAAUUUAAGGAUGCUAGGAGAUGUGCUUUCUGGUUUGAUAUUAUUGUAGGGACACUCAGUGAUGCCAGGGCAGUGCAUGCUGGUUUGUUGUUACUGAAGGGUCACUCAGGCUGCUAUGCACUCGGGGAUACUAAGACUAUAUGCACUGGUUUGUUAUUGUAGGGUCUCUCAGGGCACUGGUUUGCUUAUCACAGGGUCACUUAGGAUACUAAGGGCAAUGCACACUGAUUGGUUAUUACAGGGUCACUCAGAGGCACUGGGGCUCCACAUGCUGGUCUAUUAUUGUAGGAUCACUCAGAGGCAUGGGGGCUCAAUGCUCAGGUCUGUUAUUGUAGGGGCACUGGGACUCCACAUGCUGGUUUGUUAUUGUAGGGGCACUGGGGCUCCACAUGCUGGUUUGUUAUUGUAGGGGCACUGGGGCUCCACAUGCUGGUUUGUUAUCUUAGAGGCACUGGGGCUCCACACACUGGUUUGUUAUUGUAGGGUCA